rnacentral:rRNA from 1 species
AGAUUGAACGCUGGCGGCAUGCCUUACACAUGCAAGUCGAACGGCAGCACGGGAGCAAUCCUGGUGGCGAGUGGCGAACGGGUGAGUAAUAUAUCGGAACGUGCCCAGUCGUGGGGGAUAACGCAGCGAAAGCUGUGCUAAUACCGCAUACGAUCUAUGGAUGAAAGCGGGGGAUCGCAAGACCUCGCGCGAUUGGAGCGGCCGAUAUCAGAUUAGCUAGUUGGUGGGGUAAAAGCCUACCAAGGCGACGAUCUGUAGCUGGUCUGAGAGGACGACCAGCCACACUGGAACUGAGACACGGUCCAGACUCCUACGGGAGCAGCAGUGGGAAUUUUGGACAAUGGGCGCAAGCCUGAUCCAGCAAUGCCGCGUGCAGGACUGAAGGCCUUGGUUGUAACUGCUUUGUACGGUAACGAAACGGUUCUCUACUAAUACGAGGGCUAAUGACGUACCGUAAGAAGUAAGCACCGCUAACUACGUGACCG